UCCGGAAAAUUUGCAUAAAACUAGCAAGUGAGCUUUGUUCUCUGCACAAUUCUAAAGACUCCUUGCCAGCUAAAGCAAACAGAAAAGGUCUUUUUGAUUUACUUUUGUGACUUUUGUGACUAUCUAAAGCCGGUCCUGUAGAUAGUGAGUUUUGGACGUGUCUAAUAGAUGGCGUGAAGGAAUAUUGUGUUGUCAAAUGGCUUAUGGCGACUCGUCUAAAUCUAUCUUCAGCUACAGCUAUUUUCUUCGAAAGUUACAAAUAAACACAUAGGUUAAUUCGAGUAAUUUCGUUUGUAACUUGUCGGUGAUGUGUUCUAUUCCCUGUACAUGUUGGAUAACCUUAGUGUUUCUCACCAACUUACAGGAGGAAACGUAGCCUACCGUUGACUAUUUUGUUCAAAAUGUGCCAUCGAAAUGACACAGGAUUCAUUAUAAUUAUCUGCUGUAAGAAUUGGACUUGCGAGAUCACCAACCCCAUCACGGACAAAUCUCUCAUUCCAUCUUCUAGAGAACCUUGGCUAACUGUUUGGUGGUUUAAGUGUUUGAAACUAUAGGUUUAUAAAUUUGCAUGACAGACUUUAAGUAAAGUCAUGUUGAAGAAAAAGCACUGACUGACAGUCAACAAUGUACACUACCUUGUUUGGUAACCUGUUGGCUGCUUCCCUUGAAUCUCCCUUUUUACUUUCUUAAGCUUGAUUUGAGGGUAACUCCUUCGCUACUUAUCAUGGACUUCAUCCAUUGGUGAUGCAAUAAUUCAAGAGAAUGCUGUCAUUCAAGACUGAAAAAUUGUGUAGUUGUUAGAUAAAACAAGUGCAUGUCUGCAUGGGCUCCCUUCUUUCUUUGGCCCCAUUUCCCUAACUAGCCACUAACCAACGCCCGCCGGUGGUCACUCACCCGCUAUGAAACCAGGAGGAGGGGAGGGCUCUGGUCGAACGGGGA